UGAACGCUGGCGGCGUGCCUAAUACAUGCAAGUCGAACGAUGAAGCUUUUAGCUUGCUAGAAGUGGAUUAGUGGCGCACGGGUGAGUAAUGCAUAGGUUAUGUGCCCUUUAGUCUAGGAUAGCCACUGGAAACGGUGAUUAGUACUGGAUACUCCCUACGGGGGAAAGUUUUUCGCUAAAGGAUUGGUCUAUGUCCUAUCAGCUUGUUGGUGAGGUAAUGGCUCACCAAGGCUAUGACGGGUAUCCGGCCUGAGAGGGUGAACGGACACACUGGAACUGAGACACGGUCCAGACUCCUACGGGAGGCAGCAGUAGGGAAUAUUGCUCAAUGGGGGAAACCCUGAAGCAGCAACGCCGCGUGGAGGAUGAAGGUUUUCGGAUUGUAAACUCCUUUUGUUAGAGAAGAUAAUGACGGUAUCUAACGAAUAAGCACCGGCUAACUCCGUGCCAGCAGCCGCGGUAAUACGGAGGGUGCAAGCGUUACUCGGAGUCACUGGGCGUAAAGAGCGCGUAGGCGGGAUAGCAAGUCAGAUGUGAAAUCCUAUGGCUUAACCAUAGAACUGCAUUUGAAACUGUUAUUCUAGAGUAUGGGAGAGGUAGGUGGAAUUCUUGGUGUAGGGGUAAAAUCCGUAGAGAUCAAGAGGAAUACUCAUUGCGAAGGCGACCUGCCAGAACAUAACUGACGCUGAUGCGCGAAAGCGUGGGGAGCAAACAGGAUUAGAUACCCUGGUAGUCCGCGCCCUAAACGAUGAAUGCUAGUUGUUGUGGAGCUUGUCUCUGCAGUAAUGCAGCUAACGCAUUAAGCAUUCCGCCUGGGGAGUACGGUCGCAAGAUUAAAACUCAAAGGAAUAGACGGGGACCCGCACAAGCGGUGGAGCAUGUGGUUUAAUUCGAGGAUACACGAAGAACCUUACCUAGGCUUGACAUUGAUAGAAUCCGCUAGAGAUAGUGGAGUGCUAGCUUGCUAGAACUUGAAAACAGGCGCUGCACGGCUGUCGUCAGCUCGUGUCGUGAGAUGUUGGGUUAAGUCCCGCAACGAGCGCAACCCUCGUCCUUAGUUGCUAGCAGUUCGGCUGAGCACUCUAAGGAGACUGCCUUCGUAAGGAGGAGGAAGGUGAGGACGACGUCAAGUCAUCAUGGCCCUUACGCCUAGGGCUACACACGUGCUACAAUGGGGCGCACAAAGAGGAGCAAUACCGCGAGGUGGAGCAAAUCUCUAAAACGUCUCUCAGUUCGGAUUGUAGUCUGCAACUCGACUACAUGAAGCUGGAAUCGCUAGUAAUCGUGAAUCAGCCAUGUCACGGUGAAUACGUUCCCGGGUCUUGUACUCACCGCCCGUCACACCAUGGGAGUUGUAUUCGCCUUAAGUCGGGAUACUAA
rnacentral:rRNA from 1 species